rnacentral:rRNA from 1 species
UAUUGCACAAUGGGGGAAACCCUGAUGCAGCAACGCCGCGUGAGUGAAGAAGUAUUUCGGUAUGUAAAGCUCUAUCAGCAGGGAAGAAAAUGACGGUACCUGACUAAGAAGCACCGGCUAAAUACGUGCCAGCAGCCGCGGUAAUACGUAUGGUGCAAGCGUUAUCCGGAUUUACUGGGUGUAAAGGGAGCGCAGGCGGUCUGGCAAGUCUGAUGUGAAAAUCCGGGGCUCAACUCCGGAACUGCAUUGGAAACUGUCAGACUAGAGUGUCGGAGAGGUAAGUGGAAUUCCUAGUGUAGCGGUGAAAUGCGUAGAUAUUAGGAGGAACACCAGUGGCGAAGGCGGCUUACUGGACGAUAACUGACGUUGAGGCUCGAAAGCGUGGGGAGCAAACAGG